CCUGUCUCUCGAGGUGUUUCAGUUGUGACUGCUGUAUCCUAUGUGAGUCAGUUGGUGGCAGAGAGAAGAGAAGCUAUGUCUAAGCUCAGGGUUCUGACACGUAAACAUCUGAAUGAUCAUUAGCCUUGCAUU